rnacentral:rRNA from 1 species
GACGAACGCUGGCGGCGUGCCUAAUACAUGCAAGUAGAACGCUGAAGGAGGAGCUUGCUCUUCUGGAUGAGUUGCGAACGGGUGAGUAACGCGUAGGUAACCUGCCUGGUAGCGGGGGAUAACUAUUGGAAACGAUAGCUAAUACCGCAUAAGAGUAGAUGUUGCUUGACAUUUACUUAAAAGGUGCAAUUGCAUCACUACCAGAUGGACCUGCGUUGUAUUAGCUAGUUGGUGGGGUAACGGCUUACCAAGGCGACGAUACAUAGCCGACCUGGGAUGGGGAUCGGCCACACUGGGACUGAGACACGGCCCAGACUCCUUCGGGAGGCAGCAGUAGGGCAUCUUCGGCGAUGGACGGAAGUCUGACCGAGCAACGCCGCGUGAGUGAAGAAGGUUUUCGGCUCGUAAAGCUCUGUUGUAAGAGAAGAACGAGUGUGAGAGUGGAAAGUUCACACUGUGACGGUAUCUUACCAGAAAGAGACGGCUAACUACGUG